rnacentral:RNase_P_RNA from 1 species
GUCGCCGGUCUAAGCUUUUUCGAAGGGUUAGACGGGAGGAAAGUCCGGGCACCAUAUAGCAAUCUAGUGGGUAACGCCCAUCCACCGUGAGGUGAGGACAAGUGCAACAGAAAGUAUGUACGGUGACUUCGGUCACGCAGUAGUGAAACCAGGUAAACUCUAGACGGUGCAAGCUCAAAUAGGCCUACGUUUAGGACGGCUAGUCCAAGUAGGCGGGUAGAGUGCUCGAGCCAAGGGGUAACCUUUGGCCUAGAUGAAUGACAACUCACGACAGGACCCGGCUUAUCUCUUUUCUCU